rnacentral:rRNA from 1 species
GACGAACGCUGACGGCGUGCUUAACACAUGCAAGUCGAAGGGAGUGGCGAACGGGUGCGUAACACGUGAGUAACCUGCCCUUUUCUUUGGGAUAAGCCUGGGAAACUGGGUCUCAUACUGUAUGGUUUGGGAUGGUCACGCGGCGUAUCAGCUUGUUGGUGGGGUGAUGGCUUACCAAGGCUUUGACGGGUAGCCGGCCUGUGUGGGUGGACGGUCACACUGGGACUGAGAGACGGCCCAGAAUCCUAAGGGAGGCAGCAGUGGGGGAUAUUGCACAAUGGACGAAAGUCUGAUGCAGCGACAUCGUGUGGGGGAUGAAGGCCUUCGGGUUGUAAACUCCUUUCGACCGCGGAAUGGUAGUGGGUAAAAAAGCGACGGCUAACUACGUGCCAGCAGCCGCGGUAAUUC